GGACCGCCCUAUGUCAACAAGGAGAUAGACACGUUCCCUGCUUGGAGCCACCAGGACAAUAGAGGCUGAUCCGCAAUUUGUGCAUGACACUAGCCCAGUCUCUGGCACAGAGGAGAUCCCCAACCAUCUCUUUCAUCAGUUACCAGAUGAAUGAAUUGAUGACUAAAAAGAAGAAAGCCUCACAGGCGACUGAGAAGGAGCAAUAAGAAAGAUGACCAUGAAUUAGAAGAGAGUGAUUUCUUAGAAGAUGAGGGACCGGAGUUCAAAAAUGAAGAUGAGGAAGCUGAGACACAAAACUAGUAAGCAGUUGGCUCCAGGGAGCCCAGACCACCACCGCAACAGCCGCCCCCCCUCCCGGUUGCUGGGGAAAAACGACAACAACAACAACAACAACUGGAUUCCAUUUCCCACUAUUUUACUCACUACUUCAUA